rnacentral:rRNA from 1 species
UACGAAGGGGGCUAGCGUUGCUCGGAAUUACUGGGCGUAAGGGCGCGUAGGCGGAUCGUUAAGUCAGAGGUGAAAGCCCAGGGCUCAACCCUGGAAUUGCCUUUGAUACUGGCGAUCUUGAGUACGGGAGAGGUGUGUGGAACUCCGAGUGUAGAGGUGAAAUUCGUAGAUAUUCGGAAGAACACCAGUGGCGAAGGCGACACACUGGCCCGUUACUGACGCUGAGGCGCGAAAGCGUGGGGAGCAAACAGG